rnacentral:rRNA from 1 species
AUUGAACGCUGGCGGCAUGCCUUACACAUGCAAGUCGAACGGCAGCACGGGUGCUUGCACCUGGUGGCGAGUGGCGAACGGGUGAGUAAUACAUCGGAACAUGUCCUGUAGUGGGGGAUAGCCCGGCGAAAGCCGGAUUAAUACCGCAUUCGAUCUACGGAUGAAAGCGGGUGACCUUCGGUCCUCGCGCUAUAGGGUUGGCCGAUGGCUGAUUAGCUAGUUGGUGGGGUAAAGGCCUACCAAGGCGACGAUCAGUAGCUGGUCUGAGAGGACGACCAGCGACACUGGGAAUGAGACACGGCCCAGACUCCUACGGGAGGAAGCAGUGGGGAAUUUUGGACAAAGGGCGAAAGCCUGAUACAGCAAUGCCGCGUGUGUGAAGAAGGCCUUCGGGUUGUAAAGCACUUUUGUCCGGAAAGAAAUCCUUGGCCCUAAUACGGUCGGGGGAUGACGGUACCGGAAGAAUAAGCACCGGCUAACUACGUG